rnacentral:rRNA from 1 species
UACGGAGGGGGCGAGCGUUAUUCGGAAUUAUUGGGCGUAAAAGGGCGCGUAGGCGGCUGUACAAGUCAAAGGUGAAAUCCCGUCGGCUCAACUGAGGAACUGCCUUUGAAACUGUACGGCUUGAGGCCGGGAGGGGGUAGCGGAAUUCCCAGUGUAGCGGUGAAAUGCGUAGAUACUGGGAGGAACACCAGUGGCGAAGGCGGCUACCUGGACCGGUUCUGACGCUGAGGCGCGAAAGCGUGGGUAGCAAACAGG